AACGCGAAGAACCUUACCCGGGCUCGAACGGCAGAUGAAGAGAUCCAGAGAUGGUGACGUCCUUCGGGACAUCUGUCGAGGUGCUGCAUGGUUGUCGUCAGCUCGUGCCGUGAGGUGUCGGCUUAAGUGCCAUAACGAGCGCAACCCUUGUCGUCAGUUGCCAUCAGGUAAAGCUGGGGACUCUGGCGAGACUGCCACCGCAAGGUGUGAGGAAGGGGGGGAUGACGUCAAAUCAGCACGGCCCUUACGUCCGGGGCGACACACGUGUUACAAUGGUGGGUACAGAGGGACGCUACCUGGUGACAGGAUGCAAAUCUCGAAAACCCAUCCCAGUUCGGACUGGAGUCUGCAACUCGACUCCACGAAGUUGGAUUCGCUAGUAAUCGCGCAUCAGCCAUGGCGCGGUGAAUACGUUCCCGGGUCUUGUACACACGC
rnacentral:rRNA from 1 species